CUACCCUUGACAUGUCCGAGAGCCUGGAGAGAUCCAGGUGUGCCCGAAAGGGAAUCGGAACACAGGUGCUGCAUGGCUGUCGUCAGCUCGUGUCGUGAGAUGUUGGGUUAAGUCCCGCAACGAGCGCAACCCUUGUCAUUAGUUGCUACAUUCAGUUGGGCACUCUAAUGAGACUGCCGGUGACAAACCGGAGGAAGGUGGGGAUGACGUCAAGUCCUCAUGGCCCUUAUGGGUAGGGCUUCACACGUAAUACAAUGGCGCGUACAGAGGGUUGCCAAGGAGCGAUCUGGAGCCAAUCCCGUAAAGCGCGUCGUAGUCCGGAUUGCAGUCUGCAACUCGACUGCAUGAAGUCGGAAUCGCCAGUAAUCGCGGAUCAGCAUGUCGCGGUGAAUA
rnacentral:rRNA from 1 species